CUUCGGGGGAGCAGUGAGGAAUAUUGGUCAAUGGGCGCGAGCCUGAACCAGCCAAGUCGCGUGAGGGAAGACGGUCCUAUGGAUUGUAAACCUCUUUUGUCGGGGAGCAAAAGACGCCACGCGUGGCGUUCCGAGAGUACCCGAAGAAAAAGCAUCGGCUAACUCCGUGCCAGCAGCCGCGGUAAUACGGAGGAUGCGAGCGUUAUCCGGAUUUAUUGGGUUUAAAGGGUGCGCAGGCGGAAGAUCAAGUCAGCGGUAAAAUUGAGAGGCUCAACCUCUUCGAGCCGUUGAAACUGGUUUUCUUG
rnacentral:rRNA from 1 species